rnacentral:rRNA from 1 species
CGCCUGUUUAUCAAAAACAUGUCUUUUUGAUUUUAUUUAAGGUUUUACCUGCUCAAUGAUUUUUAAAUAGCCGCAGUAUUUUGACUGUGCUAAGGUAGCAUAAUAAUUAGUCUUUUAAUUGAGGUCUGGAAUGAAUGGUUAGACGAGGAGACAACUUUAUUAAUUUUUAUAUUUAAUUUAAUUUUUUAGUUAAAAAGCUAAAAUUUUUAAGAGGGACGAUAAGACCCUAUAGAUCUUUAUUAUUGAUUUUUUAUUUUUGUUAAUUUUUUAUUUAAUUUAAUUAAUAAUUUUAUUGGGGUGAUAAUUAAAUUUUUUUACUUUUUUUUUUUAGAACAAUUUUUUAUGGGAAUUUGAUCUUUUAUUUUGAUUUUAAGAAAAAGAUACCUUAGGGAUAACAGCGUUAUUUAAUUGGAGAGUUCAUAUUGAUAAUUAAGAUUGCGACCUCGAUGUUGGAUUAAUAAUAAUUGUAAGGUAGGUUUUACAAUGUUAGGUCUGUUCGACUUUAAAAUUUUACAUGAUCUGAGUUCAGACCGG